CCCACUGGGCAGGCUCUAUAUGCCAUGCGCUGACCUGUGUGCCCCGGUCGACGGUCUCUAUGUGUAAGCAUCGUCUCGCUGGCACAUGGGCCGGGCCCGUCAGCGACUUCGCGCGCACGCUGCUUCGCCCGCUGUGUCCACGCACUGACUCAUGGACCCACCCACUCAGCCACUUGGCGUGUUCCCCUCUCUGCUCGUGCCGCCGCCGCAUGGGCCCAUGUUGUCGGGAGUCACCUUCUACCUGGAUUCCGAGCUGAAUUGGGCGUCACGAUCUUCUCCGCGCGCGGUCGCCAGGGGAACUGAUACCGCAAAUCAUGGGGGAAAACCGGGAAUCGUUGCAACUGUUGAGACUUUUCCUGUGUAUAAAUACCGGUGCUUACCUUGGCCUAUGAAAGCCAGCGUCGUGCCUCGUGACCCAUCACCGGCAGUGGAGAGCAUUGGGCCGCCGCGGGCAAAUUACGUUGUCGUCGGCGCUUAACUCCGAUUCGGCGCUCUAGGUGUAUCAUCGGAGUGUGUUGAAGCCAUAUGAGUCAUCAAUUGGCAAUCGGGGGGUAUUAGACCAUCGAUGAUUUCUCGCUGGCAUCAACGCUAGUCCACAGACCCGCACCUCACCGUGGGCAGAAGGCUUAACUGAAAGAACCGAGGUCAAGGAGAGGUACCACAGGAUGAGGCGCAUGGAGGAUGCUGUGAUGAGUUCAUGAGAGGUCUAGACCGUCGUCUCCCAGACAACUUUAAGUUGCUGGAUCGUUGUCUCCUUAUGAUGUAAUUAUUCAUUUAUUCUGUAUAGAACUCCUAUUAUAUAGUAAAGAUGUGACAUUCAUU